rnacentral:rRNA from 1 species
ACGGUCCAGACUCCUACGGGAGGCAGCAGUGGGGAAUAUUGCACAAUGGGCGCAAGCCUGAUGCAGCCAUGCCGCGUGUAUGAAGAAGGCCUUCGGGUUGUAAAGUACUUUCAGCGAGGAGGAAGGCAUUAAGGUUAAUAACCUUGAUGAUUGACGUUACUCGCAGAAGAAGCACCGGCUAACUCCGUGCCAGCAGCCGCGGUAAUACGGAGGGUGCAAGCGUUAAUCGGAAUUACUGGGCGUAAAGCGCACGCAGGCGGUCUGUCAAGUCGGAU